AAUUUAUAAUAGAACAAGAGAGAAGGUAGAGAGGAGAAGUGACAGAUGUAGUAUGUAGUAUAUUUUAAGAAAUUGUCAUAUAAUCGUGAUUUAUUUAAAUAAUAAAAAAUUUCACAUACAGAUGUUACGAAUGUGAAGUUUGUAUUACUUUUGUUGUACUAUAAUCAAAAAUACUAAAAUUGUUUUAUCGAGCUUAUUUACCUUCACUGUUGAAACAUAACCUAUUCAAAUCACGAAAACAAUAAUUGCUGAGUUAUAUCACUAUAUCAGGAACAUUUUGAAAAUAGUAUUUAACAAAACCUACUAUGGAAUUUACAUCUGAAAACUUAGAGCGGGCAGUCUCUCAAUUUUAUCACACAGAUGCUGCAAUGCAAGCUCAGGCACAUCAGUGGUUAACAUCAGCACAAUUAUCACCAAAUGCAUGGUCUUUUGUGUGGGAACUUCUACAACCUUUUAAGCCAUCUGAAGUUCAGUUUUUUGCUGCCACAACUUUACAUAUGAAAGUGAUGAAGAGUUGGUCUGAAGUCCCAGUGGAGCAAUAUGAUGAUUUGAAAAAACGUCUUCUUCAAGCAAUCAUUAACUAUGCCUCUGGUCCAAAAAUUGUACUCAACCGUCUGUGUAUUGCGUUAUCGGCCUUCAUUCUCAAUACAACACCCAAACAUUGGCCUGGAGCUAUUCCCGAGCUUCUGUCAACCUUCCAGCCAGCCAAUAUGCCAUCCAUUCCUCCUGACAAGGCUUUGUGGAUCUUACUGGAAGUACUCACUGUCAUACCAGAAGAGUUUCAGAGUAUGCACAUGGCUCAAAACCAGAAAGUGAAUGUAAGGCUUGAGUUGGAAAGAAGUAUUCCACAAGUGGUAAGACUGGUGGAGUCAGUGCUAGCAGAGCAGACAAGGGACUGGCAGCUGGUGAAUCAGGCGGUGAGAUGUGUGUCAGCUUGGUUACAGCUGGGUAUCCCUAUCAUAGAGUGUGAUUCACUUAUCUCCUACCUGGUUCAAACUGUGGCUGCCGCUUCACAUUCAAAUACACAACUGGUGGAGUGGAUUGUGGAGGCGUUGAGUCACAUGGUCACCCACCCCUCCUCUCACAAGUACCCCUUGGCCGUGUUAAACUUCGCAGCCAGGAUACUACCUGUCAACGAUCUCAUACUUCAGCACCCCGACAAGCAGGAUCUCCAAUCUAAUGUGUAUGGGCUGUUUGUGAGUCUGGGAGAAUCACAUCCCCGCCUGAUCCUGCACUCUCUGCUAACUGACGCCUGUCACAGUUGUCUGCAGCUUGUCAACAUUAUCCUGGCCUGUAGCAACGCUCCUGGCCACUAUCCCACACAUGAGUCUUACAGUCAUCUUGGCUUCGGUUUCUGGUACAUUCUGCAGGAUGAACUGAUGGCCUGUGAUACAGACAAACACCAAGCCCUAUUACCCAUCAUCCUCCCCAUUUACACAAGCCUAGCUCUGGUGCUCAUACACAAGGCUGAGUUUCCCGCUGAUGGCAUGUCUGUGUCCGUCGAGGACAAGGAGGCCUUCAGGUGCUACCGGCAGGAUAUCGCCGACACCAUGAUGUACUGUUACAAUGUGCUGAGGGAGCCCCUGUUAAAUCUGCUGCUGGAGAGGAUCAAGAGUUGCCUGGCCACCGAGAGUCCCUGGCAGCCUCUGGAGGCUUGUCUGCACGGGUUCCUGGCAGUGGCUGAAUCUGUCAAUACUUCCGAGAGUAUCUAUCUUCCUCAGUUCUUUAGCACCCUGCAGUCUAUUCCCUUCAGCAAACUCAAUAUCAAGGUGGCCAUCACGACACUGGAUGUCGUAGGAGCAUACGCAGAUUGGAUGAACUGUCAUCGCGAGACACUGCAACACGUAGUACCUCUGCUGAUGUUUGGUCUGGAGAAUCCAGAGACAGCUCCAGCAGCCACGAUGAGCCUUAAGGAUAUAACCAGGGAGUGUCAACUUGCCAUGGAACCCUACUCACACCAUUUACUGACUGCUGCCAUGGAGGUGCUGAAGGGUGGCAAGUUGAAGCAGAAUGAGAACGUGCGUCUCAUGUACUCGGUGGGCAGAGUGCUGUCUAUUCUGCCACUCCAAACUAUCAUACAAUACCUGGACACACUCAUGCUGCCCUGUGUGGACGAACUGCAAAUACUGCUGGCUCAGCCUGUGAGUGGAGAGGUGAAGACUGGCUUACUAUUGCGUCUGAAGAUGCUCAGCAUGAUGUGUAACUCACUGGACACACAGGCAACGGCAGAGCGGAGCACGCAAACACCUCCCGUACCAACUGAACAGCCUGUUUACCUUGUGCUGGAACGUGUCUUACCCACUCUCUCUGGCAUCGUUAGCAAAUGGCAGAACGAUGCUUGUAUCAUACAGGCUGUGAGCUGCACACUGAAACAGGCUAUCAGUACACUCUUGGAGUGCUGCAGCCCUCUGGUGCCUUAUGUGACAGAGUUGCUGGCUACCAGCUAUAGACUACACCCCCACCCCUCUCCACUGGAAGUUAUCAGACAGUUGUGCCUUUUAUUUGGACGAGAAAAUGGACAGCAUCGACCACUGGUACAGUCCCUGCUGACAGCGAUAGUGCGGUACACUCUGGAGCUGCCCAUUUCGGAACACACAGAUAUUGCGGAAGCAUUUAUGCAGCUCAGUUCCAGUCUAGUCAAGAAAAAUCCUAUCCUGCUUGUAUCCUCUGAGGAUAUUGAUAUGACUGAACUGCUCACAUUUGCCAUAACAGUAUUGGGCCUGCCAGAACUGCCGACAGUGAAGGCGGCAGCAAUGUUCCUGACCAAUGUUAUUGGACAAAGCCGUGAGCAACCCAGUCUGCUGGCUGCUGUGCAGGCAACAGGAGAACAAAUGGUCCAUAGGAUAUUGCGGUCCAUAGGUGGAGAGUCUCCGCGAGGUUGUAUAGAUCCGUUGGCAGACCUGGUGCUUAUCCUGAACAAGAAGUACUGUGACAGUCUCAGCCGUUGGCUUUACCAAAUGAUGUCUGUUGAUGGCUUCCCAUCACCCAAAGCCACUCCCGAUAACAAGCAGCAUUUCGUCAAGAUGGUUCUCAAGGAGAGAGCAAAUAAACGGAAACUCCAAGAGAUAAUCAGAGAGUUUACAUUGAUUUGCCGUGGUCUGGUUGGGACGGAAUACGCAGCCCAACUGAAGGUACAGCUACUGUGAGAGGCAGCCUUGCGCGAUACCUACUGUCUGUGAUGAUUUAAACCUUACUCAUUUUUAUAGAAGUAUUGGCCCCAGAAUCGAUCCUGGAGGACACCAAAAUUUACUGGAACCCAGGAUGAAUGGAUGCCUUCAACCUGCACACACUGCUCUCUUUAAGAUAGAAAGGAACUCAACCACUAUAAUGCCAUGCGACCCAGCCCAAGGCCUCAGACAAUCCAGAAGAUGUGGAUGACUAAUGCAAUUGAAUUGCGGAACUUCAGAACAAGAGUUACUUAAAAACCACAUCUCAUAGCAUCAUUGUUAGUCUAAUAAGAUUUUCACCUUUAGGAUACUUAGUAUGUACUUUGCAUUACUACAAUCAGUUGUACUGUCUGAUGUACAUUUUGUCAUGAACAUGAAAGCCUAAUGUUGUUGAUGUUUAGGUUAAUUUGAUGCCAAUAUGCCAUAUAAGAAUACAUUUUUACUGCUCUCCAUAAAAUGAAAGCUUUUAAGUGUAAGUAAAGAUUUUUUAACAGUAAACCAUAUUGUAAAAAAAAGUAAAGGAUGCCUUAUUUUACCAGGCGAAAUUAGGACUAAGAAGCUCUCUCUAACACUUAAUCUAAGGACCAAUGGCUUAAAUGAGACCUCCUAACCACCAUCAGACAGGCGGGCUGCUUGUAAGGACAGGAUGGCACAGUGGUCACCCAUCCAAGGAACAACCAUGCUCUACAUUGCUUGACUUGGUUUUCUUGCAAUAACCGCAGUAUUCACAAGAACUUGCCAUUGGUGCAUCAUUUAGUUGAUCAAUAAAGGAGUAAUAAUGAUAAUUAGUGAUCUCCAUCCAACAGCACCAAGCUGAAGUUAUAAUUUUUUUUUUGUUAAAAAGGAACUCAUUUUGAAAAAAAUUGGUCUUGGUAUCAUUUGUCUCAUCAUGACAGGUUUUAAUUGAGGUAUUAGAUGAUUGGUCAAAACAAUUGCAAUUUUUGAGCUGCCCUUAGUAAGAAAAUACUAAACGAGUACGUAAUUACAAUUUUUGAGCUGCUCCUUACUCGCAUUUUGGGGCAGUGAGGGAUUAUUUUAAAAUCCAUAAAAAAAAUCAAAACAUUCUCAGCCGCUCAAAAGUUAAGAAUGGGAAUCUUUUGAGGUAUAGUUCAUACAAGUAAUAUUUUUUCAUUCUGUGUAACAUUUGAAAGUUCACAGUUAAUUUCCCAUGACUUGUAAGUGGUACAAUACGUGGUGAAAAUGUGCUUAUCCAUGAAUAAUUUAUGUACUUUAUUGCUUUUUUGUUGUAUGCUUCUUUGCGGUAUAUUGCCACUGAUAUGCUAUUUAAUAAUGAUAUCAAAGAUUUUUGUUUAAUAUUUGUUAUUGGUGAUAAAUGAUUUAAAAGGAUAAUAGCUUUUAAGAUAUUUGCCAUUAUUAUAUGUUAUAAAAAUAUAACGCUAUUUUUUAGGAUUUAAAUCUAUACUCUUCCUCAGGUGGCAAAAACCUUAAGACAAGGUUAAGCAUACCAAAAACAAACUUAAAACUGUAAAGUGUGAUGACGAAGCUGUUGCACACUAAAAUAAAUUUAACAACAGAGUAUAUUGUAUCUCACAAAAUCAACCAUAAACCUGAUUGGUGCAACAGCAGUGUAAUACAAAAAUAAACCUACACUCAACAAACCUGAAUGACUAGCCGAGCAUUCCCUCAAUGACUGCUCCAUAUAUAUAUAUAUAUAUAUAUAUAUAUAUAUAUAUAUGUGUGUGUGUGUGUGUGUGUGUGUGUGUGUGUGUGUGUGUGUGUGUGUGUGUGUGUGUGUGUGUGUGUGUGUGUGCUUAAUCAGACCAAACAAUCUGAACUAAGUAGAUGGGCAUUGUUGGAUAACCAAAUCCAGAGAGUUACCUACACUAAAUAUCAGGUAGGCUCUCCCUUCCUUGUAUGCUCACUCUAGAACUGGAAACAUGAACUGUAUAUACUGUAUAGAUAUAGUACUGUGUGUAAAUAUAGUAUAGUAUGUAAAAUAUGCAGAUAUCAGUAAAAGUGUUAUUUGUCUCUGCAAUUCAGCAAUAUUGGAUACUUCUAAAUAAAAAGAUUGCUAGUCCCUCUCUCUUUCUCUCCUUCCCUCCCCCCUUUGUUCCUCUCUGUAUAAUUGACCAAUUAUCCAGUAAGCGUAAAAUAUUCCAUUUAUGCUUUAAUAUUUUUGUGCCCUUUCCAAUUUGGUAAAGUUGCUACCAUUAAAUGAUGUGUUAUGGAAAAUUAACCUUAUUACUAUAUAUACAUAUUCCUUUAAAAAAAGAAUCAUCAAAUUUUAAAUAGUUUUAUAUAAAAAUAAUUAAUUUUAUGAAACAUGACAACAUAAUUUUUUAACAUAUCAAGACAAUUUACAUAAUUCAAUGAUCAAACUUGUAGUAAACAAUAGUGAAUAUGUCUUGAGCAACUGUUUGCAUUACAAUUGUAAUUUGAUUAUGCAGUUUAAUCAAAAUAGCAGGGGUUCCAUGCAAACCAUGUGAUGGGUUUGCUUAUGGUAUGUCCAUCUUUGAGUAAUCUGAUAAUUUUCAAAUUCUGACUUCCACCCACCCUUCUGUGUUUUGGUGUUCCGUCCUUUUGGAUAAUAAAGUGCAUUGAAUUGGUCUUUAACUGAUAUAACAGCCAAUUUUCAAGUAUAUUGAGAUAUGUGUAUCAUGUUACAUAGUUCUCUCUGAGAUAAAAGAGAUAGUCCAUUUUUACUUGAGAAAUAAUGGAUAAAUUCAGUUUGAGAGAGUCCUUUCGUGGUGAAUGGUGCUCAGUACUCUGUAUUAUCACAUUUAGAUGAUUUACCUUCCCACUUAAUGAAAAAGUCACUGUUAAUAAAAAUGAUAAGAAAUGUUAAUCUUCUACCAUCUUGGUGAUUAUUAGUUCACUCAGCAUCUUAGCUUAUUUGUUUGUCAUCUGCACAUAAUGCUUGCAGUAACUGAAUCUUGAAUGGAUGCAUAAACAGAUGUUGCCCUUAAAUUCACCAGAUGUAUGUUGAAUAUGGAAUUCCCAGUUCUGUACUGACUAAACAUGUGCCAGAUGUGUUAUGAUGGGGAACACUUCUAAUACUCAAGACGACCAGUUGAUUUCUCUUCACAAAGAAUUGUUUAUACCAUUACACAAUAGGAGGUUCAGGAAUCUUAAUCCCAUAUCAAUGAUGAAAGUCACAUUGAACCGUUAUCAUUUAUAUGAUUCUUGUUGAAAUCACACUGUAUCAUUGUUUUUUAAUAACAUAGCAUAUUGUAUAUAUUAUUUUACAAGCUGUUAUUUGUCCAUUUGAAAUUGCUGUUUAUAUGAAAGAAUGGAGAUUACUCUUUUAUGACAAGUAAGAAAUGAUAACUGUAUCAUGUGCACUGAUUCAAGUAAAAUAAAUUCAUUCAAUAAGUAAGUUAACAUAAAAAUUAUGUUCGUUAAUAAAUAGAGGUUAAAACAAUUCUAUAAUUCCGAAUGGUAAUUUUGGUUUCUGGAAACCGUCAUCGGAGAAAAUGCAAACACUUUUUUCUGUCAAUGCAGAAGAAAUUCUGUCAUGAGGGUUAUAAGCAAAUAUCUAUGAAAUGUACCUAACUUAGCUAGUGUAUUUUUGACUUAUUGUUUUAAGAGAGAGAGAGAGAGAGAGAGAGAGACAGUUGGUUAACUUUCAGAUAUAAUUUUAAAUGCUCACAUUCAAAUUGAAAGUUGUGAUCAUAAUUUUAAUGGAGUUUUUUUUAACAAAUGAGUAGUAUUGUAUUUUUAUUAUAUAUAGAAUCUAAGAAUCUAAUUGUACAUAACAUAUGUCAUCAAUGAUUGUGUAUGUUCAUCUACAAAAAUUUGGUAUAAAAUGUUCAUUUUUCAAUAUUUACAUUUCUAUAGAUUUUAAAAUCAUUGUAAUUAUUGUAUAUUUAUUAAACUUAGACUUCUCUUAUAAGUUAAUUACAGAUUUUAAAUUGGU